UGAAGCGGUAAAAGCUCAAAUUUGAAAUCUGGUACUUUCAGUGCCCGAGUUGUAAUUUGUAGAAUUUGUCUUUGAUUAGGUCCUUGUCUAUGUUCCUUGGAACAGGACGUCAUAGAGGGUGAGAAUCCCGUUUGGCGAGGAUACCUUUUCUCUGUAAGACUUUUUCGAAGAGUCGAGUUGUUUGGGAAUGCAGCUCAAAGUGGGUGGUAAAUUCCAUCUAAAGCUAAAUAUUGGCGAGAGACCGAUAGCGAACAAGUACAGUGAUGGAAAGAUGAAAAGAACUUUGAAAAGAGAGUGAAAAAGUACGUGAAAUUGUUGAAAGGGAAGGGCAUUUGAUCAGACAUGGUGUUUUUUGCAUGCACUCGCCUCUCGUGGGCUUGGGCCUCUCAAAAAUUUCACUGGGCCAACAUCAGUUCUGGCAGCAGGAUAAAUCAUUAAGAAUGUAGCUACCUCGGUAGUGUUAUAGCUUAUUGGAAUACUGCUAGCUGGGAUUGAGGACUGCGCUUCGGCAAGGAUGUUGGCAUAAUGGUUAAAUGCCGC
rnacentral:rRNA from 1 species